rnacentral:tRNA from 1 species
GCCUUCGUGGUGUAAUGGUCAGCACGCUCGGCGCGUAACCGAGAGGUCCGUGGUUCGAUUCCCAGCGAAGGCG